GAUGAACGCUAGCUACAGGCUUAACACAUGCAAGUCGAGGGGAAACGACAUCGAAAGCUUGCUUUUGAUGGGCGUCGACCGGCGCACGGGUGAGUAACGCGUAUCCAACCUGCCCAUCACUUGGGAAUAACCUUGCGAAAGUAAGACUAAUACCCAAUGAUAUCCCACGAAGGCAUCGGAAUGGGAUUAAAGAUUUAUCGGUGAUGGAUGGGGAUGCGUCUGAUUAGCUUGUUGGCGGGGUAACGGCCCACCAAGGCAACGAUCAGUAGGGGUUCUGAGAGGAAGGUCCCCCAAAUUGGAACUGAGACACGGUCCAAACUCCUACGGGAGGCAGCAGUGAGGAAUAUUGGUCAAUGGGCGAGAGCCUGAACCAGCCAAGUAGCGUGCAGGAAGACGGCCCUAUGGGUUGUAAACUGCUUUUAUAAGGGAAUAAAGUGGGUCACGUGUGACUUUUUGCAUGUACCUUAUGAAUAAGGACCGGCUAAUUCCGUG
rnacentral:rRNA from 1 species